CAAUAGCGUAUAUUAAAGUUGUUGCAGUUAAAAAGCUCGUAGUUGGAUUUGUGGUUGGAGCGGUCGGUCCGACACUGAGUGUGGGUACUUGACUGCCUCCGUCCAUCCUUGGGUGGAACCUGUGUGCAUUAGGUUGUCGUGCAGGGGAUGCCCAUCUUUUACUGUGAAUAAAUUAGAGUGUUCAAAGCAGGCUUACGCCGUUGAAUAUGCUAGCAUGGAAUAAUAAGAUAGGACCUUGGUACUAUUUUGUUGGUUUGUGCACCGAGGUAAUGAUUAAUAGGGACAGUUGGGGGUAUUCGUAUUGUAUUGUCAGAGGUGAAAUUCUUGGAUUUUUGCAAGACGAACGACUGCGAAAGCAUUUACCAAGGAUGUUUUCAUUAA
rnacentral:rRNA from 1 species